rnacentral:rRNA from 1 species
CCUACGGGGGGCAGCAGUGAGGAAUAUUGGUCAAUGGGCUUACGCCUGAACCAGCCAAGUCGCGUGAGGGAAGACUGCCCUAUGGGUUGUAAACCUCUUUUGUCAGGGAGCAAUUGGCGCUACGUGUAGCGUUAUCGCGAGUACCUGAAGAAAAAGCAUCGGCUAACUCCGUGCCAGCAGCCGCGGUAAUACGGAGGAGGCGAGCGUUAUCCGGAUUUAUUGGGUUUAAAGGGUGCGUAGGCGGAAUGCCAAGUCAGCGGUAAAAUCGCGGGGCUCAACCUCUGCGAGCCGUUGAAACUGGUUUUCUUGAGUGAGUGAGAAGUAUGCGGAAUGCGUGGUGUAGCGGUGAAAUGCAUAGAUAUCACGCAGAACUCCGAUUGCGAAGGCAGCAUACCGGCGCUCAACUGACGCUCAGGCACGAAAGUGUGGGUAUCGAACAGGAUUAGAUACCCUAGUAGUC